rnacentral:rRNA from 1 species
AGCGUCAACCCUUGUCCUUAGUUACCAGCACGGUUAUGGUGGGCACUCUAAGGAGACUGCCGGUGGACAAACCGGAGGAAGGUGGGGAUGACGUCAAGUCAUCAUGGCCCUUACGGCCUGGGCUACACACGUGCUACAAUGGUCGGUACAAAGGGUUGCCAAGCCGCGAGGUGGAGCUAAUCCCAUAAAACCGAUCGUAGUCCGGAUCGCAGUCUGCAACUCGACUGCGUGAAGUCGGAAUCGCUAGUAAUCGUGAAUCAGAAUGUCACGGUGAAUACGUUCCCGGGCCUU